rnacentral:lncRNA from 1 species
CAGUCUCCUAAAGAGCCUGAAAACCUGUAGAAGCUCUUCAUUGGGUUGGGGGAGUUGAGCUUUGAAACAACCCAUGAGAAUCUGAGGAUCCAUUUUGAGCAAUGGGGAAUGCUCAUGGGUUGUGUGGUAACAAGAAAUCCAAACACCAAACCCUCCAGGGGCUUUGGGUUUGUCACAAAUGCCACUGUAGAGGAGGUGGAUGCAGCCCUGAAUUAAAAGCCACGAAAGGUGGAGGGAAGAGUUGUGGAAGCAAAGAGGGCCAACUCAAGAGAAGAUUCUCAAAACCAGGUACCCACCCAACUGUGAAAAAGAUAUUUGUAGGCGCCAUUAAAGAACACACAGAAGAACAUUACCUAAGAGACUAUUUGGAACAGUGUGGGAAAAUCAAACUGAUUAAAAUCAUUACUGACAGAGGCAGUGGUAAGAAAAGGGGCUUUGGUUUUGUAAACACUGACUAUGGUGAUUCUGUGGAUAAGACUGUCAUUCAGAAAUAUACCAUACUGUGAAUGGCUACAACUGUGAAGUAAGGAAAGCCCUGCCAAAACAAGAGAUGGCUAGUGCUUCAUCUAGCCAGAGGUUGGCAUGGUUCUGGAAACUUUGGUGGUGGUUGUCAAAGUGGUUUCAGUGGGAAUGACAACUUUGGUCAUGGAGGAAACCUCAGGGGUCAUGGUGUCUUUGAUGGGGAUAGCUAUAAUGGAUUUGAUAACGAUGGUAGUUAUGUUGGAGGCAGUCCUAGUUACUCCAGAGGAAGCAGACGCUAUGGAAGUGGUGGACAGGGUUAUAGAAACCAGGGCAGUGGCUAUGGUGGGAGUGGCAGCUAUAACAGCUGUAUCAGUGGAGGAGGUGGAAGUGACUCUGGUGGUGGUAGUGAAAGCAAUUUUGGAGGUAGUGGAACUAUGAUAAUUUUGGAAAUUACAACAAUCAAUCUUUAAAUUUUGGAGCCAUGAAGGGAGGAAACUUUGGAGGCAGAAGCUCUGGCCCCUAUGAUGGCCAAGGCCAAUACUUUGCCAAG